GAUGAAGAACGUAGCGAAAUGCGAUAAGUAAUGUGAAUUGCAGAAUUCAGUGAAUCAUCGAAUCUUUGAACGCACAUUGCGCCCGCCAGUAUUCUGGCGGGCAUGCCUGUUCGAGCAUCAUUUCAACCCUCAAGCCCAGCUUGGUGUUGGGGAUCGGCACAGGCGCCCUCGGGCGCCCGCCGUCCCCUAAAUCUAGUGGCGGUCCCGCUGCAGCCUCCUCUGCGUAGUAGUUUUCUCCUCGCAAGGGCAGCUCGGUGGCGACCUCGCCGUAAAACCCCCAACUUCUGAAAGGUUGACCUCGAAUCAGGUAGGAAUACCCGCUGAACUUAAGCAUAUCAAUAAGCGGAGGA
rnacentral:misc_RNA from 1 species